GAUGAACGCUGGCGGCGUGCCUAAUACAUGCAAGUCGAGCGAACAGACGAGGAGCUUUCUCCUCUGACUGUAUCGGCGGACGGGUGAUUAACACGGGGAUAACCUACCUAUAAGACUGGGGUAACUUCGCGAAACCGUGUCUAAGACCGAAUAAUUUAUUGAACCUCGUUGUUCAAUAGUUGAAUACGGUUUUUCUUUCGCUUAUAGAUGGAUCCGCCCCGCAUUAAUUAGUUGGUAAGGUAACGGCUUACCAACGCGAGGAUGCGUAGCCGACCUGAGAGGGAGAUCGGCUACACUGGCACUGAGAAUCGGCACAGACUCCUACGGGAGGACGCAGUAGGGAAUCUUCCGCAAUGGGCGAAUGCCUGACGGAGCACAGCCGCGUGAGUCAUGAAGGUCUUCGGCUCGUAAAACUAUGUUAUUCGGGAAGUACAAAUGUGUAAGUACCUAUGAACGUAUUGACGGUACCUAAUCAGAAAGCCACGGCUAACUCCGUG
rnacentral:rRNA from 1 species